rnacentral:misc_RNA from 1 species
UCUUACACUGCAGCCAUCUUUCUGGCAAUGAUAGGUAUCAUCUGUAUCAGCAAAGCAUGGAAAGAAACCACACAAAAUGCUCCCAUUAAAGAUUAUGGGAUAUCUUACACACUUAUCUUUAGUGAUAAAAGAAUGUGGCUGCUGGGAUUUGCACAUGCUUGCCUUCAGUUCUCUAUUGCAGUCUUCUGGAUUCUGUGGGCCCCAACAUUGGUGGCUGAUGGACGAG